GUGUCAAUGGUGUAUUGGUAACAUUGGGUCUUCCCACUGCAUGACAGUUUGGCCUAGCACCGGGUUCGAUUCCCGGUUGACGCA